CAAGCGUAUAAUGCAGUUCCAACUGGUAACGGGAAGAAGCUUGCUUCUUUGCCGACGAGUGGCGGACGGGUGAGUAAUGCUUGGGAAUCCGGCUUAUGGAGGGGGAUAACGACGGGAAACUGUCACUAAUACCGCGUGAUAUCUACGGAUUAAAGGGUGGGACUUUCAGGCCACCCGCCAUAAGAUGAGCCCUAGUGGGAUUACGUAGUUGGUGGGGUAAAGGCCUACCAAGCCUGCGAUCUCUAGCUGGUCUGAGAGGAUGACCAGCCACACCGGGACUGAAACACGGCCCGGACUCCUACGGGAGGCAGCAGUGGGGAAUAUUGCACAAUGGGGGGAACCCUGAUGCUACCAUGCCACGUGAAUGAAGAUAGCCCUUCGGGUUGUAAAGUUCUUUCGGUAGCGAGGAAGGUGUUUUGUUUAAUAGACAAAUCUAUUGACCUUAACUACUGAAAGAAGCACCGGCUUACUCCACGCCAAGCAACCGCGGGUAA
rnacentral:rRNA from 1 species